AGGUAGGAGAUCACUUGAGCCUGGGAGGUUGAGGCUGCAGUGAGCUGUGAUCAUGCCACUGCACUCCAGCCUGAGUGACAGAGUGAGACCUU
rnacentral:miRNA from 1 species